rnacentral:rRNA from 1 species
AUUGAACGCUGGCGGUAUGCUUAACACAUGCAAGUCGAACGGUAGCAGGCCUUCGGGCGCUGACGAGUGGCGGACGGGUGAGUAACGCGUAGGAAUCUGCCUGUUAGUGGGGGACAACGUGGGGAAACUCACGCUAAUACCGCAUACGCCCUACGGGGGAAAGGAGGGGACCUUCGGGCCUUUCGCUAACAGAUGAGCCUGCGUUGGAUUAGCUAGUUGGUAGGGUAAAGGCCUACCAAGGCGACGAUCCAUAGCUGGUCUGAGAGGACGAUCAGCCACACUGGGACUGAGACACGGCCCAGACUCCUACGGGUGGCAG